rnacentral:rRNA from 1 species
AACGAACGCUGGCGGCAUGCCUAACACAUGCAAGUCGAACGAGACCUUCGGGUCUAGUGGCGCACGGGUGCGUAACGCGUGGGAACCUGCCCUUAGGUUCGGCAUAACUCCCCGAAAGGGGUGCUAAUACCGGAUAAUGUCUUCGGACCAAAGAUUUAUCGCCUUUGGAUGGGCCCGCGUUGGAUUAGCUAGUUGGUAGGGUAAAAGCCUACCAAGGCGACGAUCCAUAGCUGGUCUGAGAGGAUGAUCAGCCACACUGGGACUGAGACACGGCCCAGACUCCUACGGGAAGCAGCAGUGGGGAAUAUUGGACAAUGGGCGAAAGCCUGAUCCAGCAAUGCCGCGUGAGUGAUGAAGGCCUUAGGGUUGUAAAGCUCUUUUACCCGGGAUGAUAAUGACAGUACCGGGAGAAUAAGCUCCGGCUAACUCCGUG